rnacentral:rRNA from 1 species
AUGGAGGCCGGCGGUAGUAGGAGAAGUGCGACUACCAGGAAGAGGAAGUCAGCCGCACUCAUGGGCGAGGGCAGUCCGGCUCCGUCGCCGGCGGCAGCGCCCGAUCCCGGAGCGGCUGACCACGAUGGAGGUGGAGACGGGCGAGAUCUCCACCUCAGCGACCUCCCCGACGACGUGCUCCGGAAGAUUAUUUCGGUCCUCCCCAUGAAGCAACGCGGUCGCACGCAGAUCCUCGCGAAACGGUGGCUUCCCCUCUGGCGCUCUCUUCCUCUCAACAUCGACUGCUGUGAAAUCGCCCGUUCUAAUCAUGGUAAGCUCGGUGAUGUCUUACAACGCAUAAUUUCCUCCCAGCAAGGCGACUGCCACCGCUUCUGCAUUCGCCCACUCUUGGCCACGAACAAGGAGAACGAUGCUGCCGUGGACGCCUGUCUCCUGUCCCCCGCUCUGAAUAAACUCAAGGAGCUUGAGUUCUACCGUCGGCCGUGGCACAAUUGGCAGCGGUUGCCGGCACCAACAUCUAUCUUCCGUUUUUCGCACACCCUCUGUGUCGCCCAAUUCGGACAUUGCACACUCACGGACGACAUCGUUCAAGGGCUUCACUUCCCGCAGCUUAAGAAGCUCGGUCUUGAUUAUGUCUUCCUCUCGGAGUUCUCACUCAGCAGCAUGAUUGCCAGCAGCCCUUCUCUCGAGGUCUUGCUAAUUAUUCGGUGCAGUGGAGCCCGUUGCCUCCGGAUCAAUUCAUUUACCCGUAGAAGCAUUGAAGUCGGCAAUUCUUCGCCAGAUCCAUGCAUGGAGGAGCUCAUCAUCGAGAGUGCCCCUCAUCUUGAAAGAUUAUUCCAUCUUGAUCAGAACCAGGAUUUGCAUGUAUCAGUGCUCUCGGCACCUAGGUUGGAGUCCCUAGGUUGUUGUACUAACUCCACCAGGCUCGUGUUUGGUUCCACAGAUAUUCAUCAGGGACCGCGCAUUGCAAUUGGUAGCCUUUCAACAGCACUGUGCAGAAUCAAGUCUUUGCAUCUAUGUAUGCGUACUCUAUGUUUGGACAUGGUUAUUGAAUUGAUGAGAUGUUUUCCGUGCUUGGAGAAGUUGUACAUUCAGUGCGAGAAAUCUGGGACAAAGAAUUUGUGGCGUCGUAAACACCGGGACCUUCUCAGAUCUUUUGACAUCUGUCUAAAAAAAUUGUAUUGGAUUGUUAUCGGGCCAAAAAACCUGACAUUGAUUUUGUAA